rnacentral:rRNA from 1 species
CCUACGGGUGGCAGCAGUGAGGAAUAUUGGUCAAUGGACGCAAGUCUGAACCAGCCAAGCCGCGUGCAUGAAGACGGCUCUAUGAGUUGUAAACUGCUUUUGUACGAGGGUAAACGCAGAUACGCGUAUCUGUCUGAAAGUAUCGUACGAAUAAGGAUCGGCUAACUCCGUGCCAGCAGCCGCGGUAAUACGGAGGAUUCAAGCGUUAUCCGGAUUUAUUGGGUUUAAAGGGUGCGUAGGCGGUCGGUUAAGUUAGAGGUGAAAUCCCGAGGCUCAACUUCGGAAUUGCCUCGGAUACUGGUCGGCUAGAGAGUAGUUGAGGUAGGCGGAAUGUGUGGUGUAGCGGUGAAAUGCUUAGAGAUCAUACAGAACACCGAUUGCGAAGGCAGCUUACCAAGGUACUUCUGACGUUGAGGCACGAAAGCGUGGGGAGCGAACAGGAUUAGAUACCCCUGUAGUC